GACGAACGCUGGCGGCGUGCCUAACACAUGCAAGUCGAGCGAGAGACUUCGGUCUCUAGCGGCGGACGGGUGAGUAACACGUGGGUAACCUGCCUCAUAGAGGGGGAUAGCCUCCCGAAAGGGAGAUUAAUACCGCAUAACAUCAUGCUAACGCAUGUUAGUGUGAUCAAAGGAGUAAUCCGCUAUGAGAUGGACCCGCGGCGCAUUAGCUAGUUGGUGAGGUAAAGGCUCACCAAGGCGACGAUGCGUAGCCGACCUGAGAGGGUGAUCGGCCACAUUGGAACUGAGACACGGUCCAGACUCCUACGGGAGGCAGCAGUGGGGAAUAUUGCACAAUGGGCGAAAGCCUGAUGCAGCAACGCCGCGUGAGUGAUGAAGGCCUUCGGGUUGUAAAGCUCUGUCUUUUGGGACGAUAAUGACGGUACCAAAGGAGGAAGCCACGGCUAACUACGUGCCAGCAGCCGCGGUAAUACGUAGGUGGCAAGCGUUGUCCGGAUUUACUGGGCGUAAAGGAUGCGUAGGUGGAUAUUUAAGUGGGAUGUGAAAUACCCGGGCUUAACCUGGGUGCUGCAUUCCAAACUGGAUAUCUGGAGUGCAGGAGAGGUAAGUGGAAUUCCUAGUGUAGCGGUGAAAUGCGUAGAGAUUAGGAAGAACACCAGUGGCGAAGGCGACUUACUGGACUGUAACUGACACUGAGGCAUGAAAGCGUGGGGAGCAAACAGGAUUAGAUACCCUGGUAGUCCACGCCGUAAACUAUGGGUACUAGGUGUGGGAGGUAUCGACCCCUUCCGUGCCGCCGUUAACACAAUAAGUACCCCGCCUGGGGAGUACGGUCGCAAGAUUA
rnacentral:rRNA from 1 species